UAAUUGGAAAAGUAAGUUAAACACCUAAAACACGUGGUUCACGUGUUAAAACAGAAUUCAACAAUGAAGUCCAAAAUGUAUCCUCUUAUCACCUAAACCUCGUUCUCCCACGCCGCACUGAAGAUUGACUCUGGCGACGGAGGCACCUCAAAGACCAUAAUCAACACAUCAUCUAAAGUAGUUUCCCCCUGGAUCUAAAUAUUUCCAUAACAAACCCAAAUUCCUCAAGGAAAACUCAAAUCGAAGCAAGCAACUAAAGAACCCUAGAAAAUCAAGCAGAAAUUAAGUCACAUUCUCUCGGAAUCAAAGCCCUCAGGGCCAGGGCUUUGAUUCCCCUAACCGAACCUUACAUCUCGGUAACAAAAACAAGGCAAACGACUAUGAAAAACAAGAACUCAUCGGAGAAGACACAGAACAUCAGAAUCAGGUGCAAAAUCCUCUAUAAAUCUCGAAUCCUUUUCUUCUUCCCGAUUCUUCUCUUUUUCUUCUUAAACUUCUUCUGAAAAUUCUUGAGAGGUCGUGAGCAGAAAAAUCGAGAGGGAGAAAGCUCUGAGUGUGAUGAGGCUAAGUUAUACUAUGUUGAAGCUUCAAUGGAGUAUGUUGAAGGAGCUCAGGUGAGGGUGAAGAAAGGUUUUAAGAUCGAGAGAGUGAAGAGUGAAUCUUGAAAAUCCUGGAAAUGAAACGUAACCUCCAAUGAUUGAAGAGUGAUUGGUAUUUAUAGAUUUUAGGUUAGAAAUGUAAACUCAAAUUCAUCUGAAAUUUUAUCGAGCUAGUUAGAAAUUUAGAAAAUCUGUUAGAGUGUUAAUGAAUGUGAAAUGAGUUAGUUUGAGUUAGUUAAUUAGUUAUACAAAUUUCAGUUAGUGUGGUUGAUUGUGAUUCUGUGUGUGUUGCCUCUGUUAGUUAUUGUGGCCUUCAAUUUGGGUGUUGUUGAAUGAAAAGUAUGCAGGGUCGUAUGCGUUAUGAAGGAGCUUCUAAUUUCUGCAGGCUAAAAUUAUUUUGAAUUUUUGACUUGGUGUGUUCAAUACACGAAUUUUGCAGGGUUAUGUUAGUGAGUUUUCACUUAUGUUCUAUUCUGAAUUAUGCAAUGCAUUUUUUUGGAUUUCUGUCCAUAGAUAUGAAGGUUGCAAUGUUUGGGAAUUUCUAUGCUAUGCUCAUUUGCUGCUGCUUGGGAAUGGCCUACGCUGCUAGUUAUAUGGAAUCUUGUUCUUUAGUUUGUUGAGCAAGUUUGCAGGUGGAAACCUGGCUUGGAGUUUUUAUGUCAUGAGCUUUGUUGAUUCGUUAUGUUGUUUGAAACAUUAGGGACCAUUUGGAAUUAAAUUGGGAAAUUGGGAUUGAUGUUUGGACUGUGGUAAUUGUGAAUGGGAUUGAGUUAUGGAAAGUUGUAUUGAAUGGUUUAUCAAAUUGUGAACGUGGACGAAUUUGAAUAUGGAAAAUUGUAUUGAAUUUGUAUGGAAAGUGUAUUAAAUUACAAGUUGAAAUGUGUAUUGUUUGAAUUUUAUUGGAUAUGGCAUGUUAAUUGUGAAUGUAUGGUUUUAGACUAUGUGGUUUGAAUAUGUGUUAUAUGGAAAAUUAAUUGAACAAGUUGAAAUGAGAAAUAAA
rnacentral:lncRNA from 1 species